CCAUCUACCAUCCGAUAACAGCUGAUCUGAAGACCUAAGGAUAAACAAACGUAACCUGUUGCUUUUGUGCCUUCCAUUUUUGAAGCCAAAAUCAUCGCCCAACUAUCGCAUAAAAUAGUCAGUCAAAUUUGGAUGGGAAACUUACUGGAACAUUUUCGGAACGGCCGAACCUUAUGGAACAUCCGUUCAAUGGAUGGUGGAUGGAUCUCCGUGGAAAGGCACUAUUACCUCCUUCCCAAAGAGUCCAUUCGUUCGAAACAGUUGUAAUUUUUGAGAAAUGUGAAGCUCCGAUUGCCACCAUCUACCUUCAAUAACUUUUAAAUGAGUCGGAGUUAUAAGUUUAAACAAUAAACGUUAUAAUUCAAUGUGUAAUAAUAAUACUAGAAAAUCACCAAGCUUAGAGAUUGGAAGUUCUGGAGAAAUUCCAAUCGAAGAGCUCAUUGAGAUGGAACCUUACCAGUGAACCUCUUUCUCUCAAAGAAGAGGGCCACCAGUAUCUGACGACAUCUUCAUUAGGGAAUUGGUGGAGCCCAACACAACAAGCUAUUUGACAGCUGAAAGACGCUCUGGCUCCUAUAGGAAGGAGGAAAAAAACGCCCGUUAAAAGACAACUGGAGGAGCCAUUACCAGGAUGCUGGGUGCCUUUACGCAAUAUCAGCGAGACAACCCCCUUCCCAUCCCGGCAAUAACUCCCUCAAGGCCCAUGAGACACGGGGAAGAUGAUACAUCCGCUACACUAGAAGGAAACAUAAAAAUACUUAUUGACAUAAAUAAAACAAGGAAGAACGCUGUAUUCGAGAGCCUCAA